UACGAAGGGGGGCUAGCGUUGCUCGGAAUCACUGGGCGUAAAGGGUGCGUAGGCGGGUCUUUAAGUCAGGGGUGAAAUCCUGGAGCUCAACUCCAGAACUGCCUUUGAUACUGAAGAUCUUGAGUUCGGGAGAGGUGAGUGGAACUGCGAGUGUAGAGGUGAAAUUCGUAGAUAUUCGCAAGAACACCAGUGGCGAAGGCGGCUCACUGGCCCGAUACUGACGCUGAGGCACGAAAGCGUGGGGAGCA
rnacentral:rRNA from 1 species